UUCGCCCUUAGAGUUUGAUCCUGGCUCAGAACGAACGCUGGCGGCAGGCUUAACACAUGCAAGUCGAUCGCCCCGCAAGGGGAGCGGCAGACGGGUGAGUAACGCGUGGGAACGUACCUUUUGCUACGGAAUAACUCAGGGAAACUUGUGCUAAUACCGUAUGUGCCCUUCGGGGGAAAGAUUUAUCGGCAAAGGAUCGGCCCGCGUUGGAUUAGCUAGUUGGUGAGGUAAAGGCUCACCAAGGCGACGAUCCAUAGCUGGUCUGAGAGGAUGAUCAGCCACACUGGGACUGAGACACGGCCCAGACUCCUACGGGAGGCAGCAGAAGGG
rnacentral:rRNA from 1 species